AUUGAACGCUGGCGGCAGGCCUAACACAUGCAAGUCGAGCGGAUGAAGGGAGCUUGCUCCUGGAUUCAGCGGCGGACGGGUGAGUAAUGCCUAGGAAUCUGCCUGGUAGUGGGGGAUAACGUCCGGAAACGGGCGCUAAUACCGCAUACGUCCUGAGGGAGAAAGUGGGGGAUCUUCGGACCUCACGCUAUCAGAUGAGCCUAGGUCGGAUUAGCUAGUUGGUGGGGUAAAGGCCUACCAAGGCGACGAUCCGUAACUGGUCUGAGAGGAUGAUCAGUCACACGGGAACUGAGACACGGUCCAGACGCCUACGGGAGGCAGCAGUGGGGAAUAGUGGACAAUGGGCGAAAGCCUGAUCCAGCCAUGCCGCGUGUGUGAAGAAGGUCUUCGGAUUGUAAAGCACUUUAAGUGGGGAGGAAGGGCAGUAAGUUAAUACCUUGCUGUUUUGACGUUACCAACAGAAUAAGCACCGGCUAACUUCGUG
rnacentral:rRNA from 1 species